GACGAACGCUGGCGGCGUGCUUAACACAUGCAAGUCGAACGGAAAGGCCCUGCUUUUGUGGGGUGCUCGAGUGGCGAACGGGUGAGUAACACGUGAGUAACCUGCCCUUGACUUUGGGAUAACUUCAGGAAACUGGGGCUAAUACCGGAUAGGAGCUCCUGCUGCAUGGUGGGGGUUGGAAAGUUUCGGCGGUUGGGGAUGGACUCGCGGCUUAUCAGCUUGUUGGUGGGGUAGUGGCUUACCAAGGCUUUGACGGGUAGCCGGCCUGAGAGGGUGACCGGCCACAUUGGGACUGAGAUACGGCCCAGACUCCUACGGGAGGCAGAAGUGGGGAAUAUUGCACAAUGGGCGGAAGCCUGAUGCAGCAACGCCGCGUGCGGGAUGACGGCCUUCGGGCUGUAAACCGCUUUCGCAUGUGACGAAGCGUGAGUGACGGUAAUGGGUAAAGAAGCACCGGCUAACUACGUG
rnacentral:rRNA from 1 species